rnacentral:rRNA from 1 species
ACGGAAUUUACAUGAAGCCUAGCGAUUGUAAAUUUAGUGGCGGACGGGUGAGUAACGCGUGGGUAACCUGCCUUGUACUGGGGGACAACAGUUGGAAACGACUGCUAAUACCGCAUAAGCGCACAGCUUCGCAUGAAGCAGUGUGAAAAACUCCGGUGGUACAAGAUGGACCCGCGUCUGAUUAGCUGGUUGGUGAGGUAACGGCCCACCAAGGCGACGAUCAGUAGCCGGCCUGAGAGGGUGAACGGCCACAUUGGGACUGAGACACGGCCCAAACUCCUACGGGAGGCAGCAGUGGGGAAUAUUGCACAAUGGGGGAAACCCUGAUGCAGCAACGCCGCGUGAGUGAAGAAGUAUUUCGGUAUGUAAAGCUCUAUCAGCAGGAAAGAAAAUGACGGUACCUGACUAAGAAGCCCCGGCUAACUACGUGCCAGCAGCCGCGGUAAUACGUAGGGGGCAAGCGUUAUCCGGAUUUACUGGGUGUAAAGGGAGCGUAGACGGUUUUGCAAGUCUGAAGUGAAAGCCCGGGGCUUAACCCCGGGACUGCUUUGGAAACUGUAGGACUAGAGUGCAGGAGAGGUAAGUGGAAUUCCUAGUGUAGCGGUGAAAUGCGUAGAUAUUAGGAGGAACACCAGUGGCGAAGGCGGCUUACUGG